ACAACCUCCCUGAUCAUCUGAGACAGUCUGCUGAAGCUAAGACCUGACGUUGUGAUCACUGAAAUCAUGCUGAAGAUAGUAUUUGUGCUUGGAUGCCUCCUGAGCCUCGCUCUGGCCAAUCCUGUGGACGGGGGGCACAAACGAUUUGCCCGUUCAGACUCUGGUUCUGAUUCUAAUUCUGAUUCUGAUGAGACUACCAGUACCACUACGACCAGCACUACGCUGUCUCAGGAACAGCUUGUCCAGCUACUUGCUGCCAUCAUCUCACAACUGGCGACUACUACAACUGCAACUACGACCACAACAACAGCUGCAACUACAACAACAGCUGCAACGACUGCAGCCCCCGCUACCACACCAGCUGCCGGUAAAUAGGGAAACCGGUCUGGAAUGGAAAACUUGCUCUCAGUGCUGUCUUGUGUCAGUAUGUUUUUGCUGAUAAUCUGCUGAGAUUUUCUCAGUUUAAUGUUUUAACCACUCGUCAUUCAAGUUUAGUACAACAUGUCUAUCAAAAUUCAUUAUUCUCUGUGAUAUUUACCAAAUAAACAUAAUAAUAGCUUGA